rnacentral:rRNA from 1 species
GAUGAACGCUGGCGGUCUGCUUAACACAUGCAAGUCGAACGUGAAGCAUCCGUUCGGGAUGUGGAAAGUGGCGCACGGGUGAGUAACGCGUGGGAAUCUACCUCUUGGUUCGGGGAUAAACCCUUGGAAACGGUGGCUAAUACCGGAUGAGACCGAAAGGUAAAAGAUUUAUUGCCCACAGAUGAGCUCGCGUCUGAUUAGCUAGUUGGUAAGGUAAAGCGUACCAAGGCGACGAUCAGUAGCUGGUCUGAGAGGAUGAGCAGCCACACUGGGACUGAGACAC